UACAGAGGUCCCAAGCGUUGUUCGGAUUCACUGGGCGUAAAGGGUGCGUAGGCGGUCGGGUAAGUCUGAUGUGAAAUCUCACAGCUUAACUGUGAAACUGCAUUGGAUACUAUCCGGCUCGAGGAAUGGAGGGGAGACUGGAAUACUUGGUGUAGCAGUGAAAUGCGUAGAUAUCAAGUGGAACACCAGUGGCGAAGGCGAGUUUCUGGACGGGUACUGACGCUGAGGCACGAAGGCCAGGGAGCAAACGGG
rnacentral:rRNA from 1 species